UGCAAGUAUUGAUUAAGUUGCAAAGAUCCCACCUGGGAUUCAGCCUCCGCUAGCUGCCGGGUUCGGGGAUAUGGGACUCGUCCCUAGAGGCUGAACCGUGGGUCCGGGCUGACUUGGAAGAAGCCUUUGAAAUGUCAGAGUAACAAGCAAGAAAACAGCAAAGGACUUCGGGGCACAAGGAAACUACCUCUGCCACUUAAUAACGCACGAGGCUUUUUAUGAUGCAUCUGUCAAUAGCUCCCGUCUGCCAGGAGGACAGGACGCGCUGUGAGAGUCACUUCCAGGAGGGAGCCCUUCACAAUACAGUGGAGUCCAAAUCCCCAAGACCAGAGACCUGGGAGGUCAAUCACGCCGCAAUUACCCAGCGAUUACAAAGCAGGAUAUUGAUGUGCUGUGCUCCGGCUGCGCCCCAGGCUGCCCACCCCCGUUUUAACAGCGUUCUUCCUCUUGCCAUAAUUAGCACCUCAAUUUUUUGUCCCACUUCCGACCCCGCCCCCUACCCAUUGGAAAUUUGCAGACUGGAAAUUGAUCAGAACUUCAGUUGCUGAGAUAACACAUGGUGCUUUUUAAUCUGUCAGCCUCCCCUUUGUUCUUUCAGGACUGGCUGGUUGCCCUGCCUCCUCCAAGCGGUGCCUGGCAGGGGUCUGCCAAGGAGGUCGACUGAGCAGACGGGACGGCUGUGAUCCGUGGGUUGACGAUUCACAAGCCCAAGUCUCUCUCCCAAGCCCUAGAAUGUUGUAUCCCACGGCAUCCUGGGCAGAUGCACCCCUGAGCCCCUCAUCUUCCCCCAAAGCUGCCUUCCGGAUGCCUGUCUCGGGGAAUGGCAAUCACCCAAGUGCAGAGGCUGGGAAUUGCCCCGAUCUCUCCCCAUCUCCCUGACUUCCAGCUGGCCUCUGGAUUCUACGUGCCGACAGCUCAAAAACCUGUCCCCUCCUCUCUUGCCCUGCGCCCAUGGCCCCAACUCAGACCUCUACACCCCUUGUGCAGACUCCCCACCACCCCCCCACUAUGGCCUCCCACGGGGCUCCUUGCCUCCAGCCCUUGGAUCCACUGCAGCCAGAGCUCUCGAGCACGACCCACUGGCACAUCCUUGCCACCACUCAGCCCCCAGUCCCUCUUUCCUUUCUUGCUCUCAUUACCACUCUUGCUCACGGCUUCCCAGACACUGUUCUCCCUCUGGUCCCUGAGCCUUCGAAUAUAUUGUUCCCCCAGUCUGGGAGGCUCUCCCCACCUCACCUUCUGGGCGCCACACAUUUAUUGCUCCUGAAUACCCACGUAGUCUCCCGCAUUUCCCAGCUCUCCUUGCAAGUCAGCCUGGCCACGUGAUGAGUUCUAGCCAAUGGAUAGAAGAGCAGGUGGGAGCCCCAUGUGCUUGGUGGUGAGGCGGUGGACCGACCCCAGGCGGAAGCAGCCUCCGUCACUGAGUCCUUACAACAGCCGGAUGUUGAGUCUCUGGACGUGCAGAGCCUGGGUGUGAACAAGAAUAAAUCCGAAGCGUCAAACCCCCGAGAUUUGAGGGUUGGGGUGACUGCAGCCGAGGCCCAACCCCUCCGGACAGAUGGUCUGGGAUUGGAAAAUGCACAACCAAAGGCCAUCAAAAGAGACAGAAGAGAGGGCCCUUCUUUUUCCUCUCGUCUCUGUCGACCCAGAGCUGGGAGCAAUGGAGAACAGAUAGAAAAUGUGCUGGUAGAUGGACGGAUGGACGGAGGGACAGG